rnacentral:rRNA from 1 species
AUACGUAGGGUGCGAGCGUUGUCCGGAAUUACUGGGCGUAAAGAGCUCGUAGGUGGUUUGUCGCGUCGUCUGUGAAAUUCCGGGGCUUAACUCCGGGCGUGCAGGCGAUACGGGCAUAACUUGAGUACUGUAGGGGAGACUGGAAUUCCUGGUGUAGCGGCGAAAUGCGCAGAUAUCAGGAGGAACCCCGGUGGCGAAGGCGGGUCUCUGGGCAGUAACUGACGCUGAGGAGCGAAAGCAUGGGUAGCGAACAGGAUUAGAUACCCUGGUAGUCCAUGCCGUAAACGGUGGGCGCUAGGUGUAGGGGUCUUCCACGACUUCUGUGCCGUAGCUAACGCAUUAAGCGCCCCGCCUGGGGAGUACGGCCGCAAGGCUAAAACUCAAAUGAAUUGACGGGG